UCUCCGUAGGUGAACCUGCGGAGGGAUCAUUACAGAGAACAUCGCCCGCAAGGGUGACUCUCCAACCCUAUGUUAAAUUCUACCUUUGUUGCUUUGGCGGGCCGCUUCGGCCACCGGCACCACGCUGGUGAGCGCCCGCCAGAGGACCCCAAACUCUGUUUAUACAUGUCGUCUGAGUACUAUACAAUAGUUAAAACUUUCAACAACGGAUCUCUUGGUUCUGGCAUCGAUGGAGAACGCAGC
rnacentral:misc_RNA from 1 species